UACGUAGGGCGCAAGCGUUAUCCGGAAUUAUUGGGCGUAAAGAGCUCGUAGGCGGUUUGUCGCGUCUGCCGUGAAAGUCCGGGGCUCAACUCCGGAUCUGCGGUGGGUACGGGCAGACUAGAGUGUAGGGGAGACUGGAAUUCCUGGUGUAGCGUGAAAUGCGCGAUAUCAGGAGGAACACCGAUGGCGAAGGCAGGUCUCUGGGCU
rnacentral:rRNA from 1 species